ACAAGGUUUCCGUAGGUGAACCUGCGGAAGGAUCAUUAUUGAAUUUUAUU
rnacentral:rRNA from 1 species